rnacentral:piRNA from 1 species
CUCAAAGGCUUUUCAGAAUCUAAGGAGAU